rnacentral:rRNA from 1 species
GACGAACGCUGGCGGCGUGCUUAACACAUGCAAGUCGAACGGAAAGGCCCUGCUUUUGUGGGGUGCUCGAGUGGCGAACGGGUGAGUAACACGUGAGUAACCUGCCCUUGACUUUGGGAUAACUUCAGGAAACUGGGGCUAAUACCGGAUAGGAGCUCCUGCUGCAUGGUGGGGGUUGGAAAGUUUCGGCGGUUGGGGAUGGACUCGCGGCUUAUCAGCUUGUUGGUGGGGUAGUGGCUUACCAAGGCUUUGACGGGUAGCCGGCCUGAGAGGGUGACCGGCAACAUUGGGAAUGAGAAACGGCCCAGACUCCAACGGGAGGCAGCGGGGGGGAAUAUUGCACAAGGGGCGGAAGCCGGAUGCAGCAACGCCGGGUGCGGAAUGAGGGCCUUCGGGUUGGAAACAGCUUUCGCCUGUGACGAAGGGGGGGGGAGGGUAAUGGGUAAAGAAGCACCGGCUAACUACGG